UACGGGGGGGGCAAGCGUUGUUCGGAAUUACUGGGCGUAAAGGGCUCGUAGGCGGCCAACUAAGUCGGACGUGAAAUCCCCAGGCUCAACCUGGGAACUGCGUCCGAUACUGGAUGGCUUGAAUUCGGGAGAGGGAUGCAGAAUUCCAGGUGUAGCGGUGAAAUGCGUAGAUAUCUGGAGGAAUACCGGUGGCGAAGGCGGCAUCCUGGACCGACAUUGACGCUGAGGAGCGAAAGCGUGGGGAGCAAACAGG
rnacentral:rRNA from 1 species